UACAGAGGGUGCAAGCGUUAAUCGGAAUUACUGGGCGUAAAGCGUGCGCAGACGGUUGCGUAAGUCAGAUGUGAAAGCCCCGGGCUCAACCUGGGAAUUGCAUUUGAGACUGCGUAGCUAGGGUGCGGAAGAGGGAAGCGGAAUUUCCGGCGUAGCGGUGAAAUGCGUAGAUAUCGGAAGGAACACCAGUGGCGAAAGCGGCUCCCUGGUCCAGCACCGACGUUCAGGCACGAAAGCGUGGGGAGCAAACAGG
rnacentral:rRNA from 1 species